rnacentral:rRNA from 1 species
UACGUAGGGUGCGAGCGUUGUCCGGAUUUAUUGGGCGUAAAGGGUGCGCAGGCGGCCAUCUGCAGUGGCGCGUGGAAUCUCCGGGCUCAACUUGGAGGGGUCGCGCCAAACGGGGUGGCUUGAGGCGGGAAGAGGACCACAGAACGGGCGGAGUAGGGGUGAAAUCCGUAGAGACCGUCCGGAAUACCAAUAGCGAAGGCAGUGGUCUGGGCCCGUCCUGACGCUCGGGCACGAAAGCGUGGGGAGCGAACGGA